AACGAACGCUGGCGGCAGGCUUAACACAUGCAAGUCGAGCGCCCCGCAAGGGGAGCGGCAGACGGGUGAGUAACGCGUGGGAAUCUACCCAUCACUACGGAACAACUCCGGGAAACUGGAGCUAAUACCGUAUACGUCCUUCGGGAGAAAGAUUUAUCGGUGAUGGAUGAGCCCGCGUUGGAUUAGCUAGUUUGUGGGGUAAUGGCCUACCAAGGCGACGAUCCAUAGCUGGUCUGAGAGGAUGAUCAGCCACACUGGGACUGAGACACGGCCCAGACUCCUACGGGAGGAAGCAGUGGGGAAUAUUGGACAAUGGGCGAAAGCCUGAUCCAGCCAUGCCGCGUGAGUGAUGACGGCCCUAGGGUUGUAAAGCUCUUUCGCAGGUGAAGAUAAUGACGGUAACCUGAGAAGAAGCCCCGGCUAACUUCGUGCCAGCCGCCGCCGUAAGAC
rnacentral:rRNA from 1 species